CUAGCUUAUCAGCCCUUAAGCGCAAAAAGUGGCUCCCACGUCGAAAUUAAUAGCGAAUAAGUCGGCCUUAUCGCGGGGUAAGUUAUGGUCAGGGGGGACCCGCCUUUACGCGGCUAUUAGGCGCAGAAAAAUGGCGACUGUAGUAGCUGUGCUCUCGCUAAACAGGCGAAAUCUUGUCGAAACAGAAUAUUUAGGGACAAUUAUAUCUUUACAAUGAUGUAGAAGUGUACACGAAAUUUGAAUUUCGUGGAGUUGAUAAAAUGUCUAUUGUCUAUGAGGUAGAAGGUGAAUUGGAAAUGUCGAAUCGAGGGAACAAUGUUCCCUCAAGCAGACGAGAAUGCUUUGCACUUCGCAACGGGAACAUUUUUACGUGUGUGUGAAUGUGUGUGUGCGGCGAUUUGGUCGGAGUUUCCGAAGAGAAAUGUCACAUCGUGAGGAGAGUGACCAAACGCUACUACGACAUGCUCGACGAUGGAUCGUCUUUCCCGACUAGCGAGAGGCAGAGAGAAGGGAAAGUUCUGUGCCAGCGGUGGUUUUUCCGAGUGUUGUUGGAUACAUCGACGGGACGCAUAUCCACAUUCAGGCGGCGAAAAUAAUGAGCACCAGUACGUGAAUGGAAAAUAUUUUCAUUCACUGAAUGUUCAGGUUAAUGUUUAUCAACGUGCUUGCAAAGUGGCAUCCAGGGUGUCUGCAGCCUUUGGAAGCAACUGUAGACUAUUGGACCGGGUCAUGCUAGGUGACAGUAGCUGCAUGAUAGGAGAGUGAUUGUUGACAUCAUUUCAGCAUCCUGCACCCUUGCAGGAAAGGAAAUACAACACAGCACAUAGCUGUACAUGCAACUGGCAUAGCUAAAAAGAGAUGGGAUUGUCUCUAGGGUCUGAAGAUGGAACCAGAUCAGGCAUGUGAAGUGACUGUGUUCUCAAUCGGGGAGAGCCAGACAAUGAUGGCGACAAUAAUGAUGUUGGACAUAACAAUGAUUUAAAUAAUGAAAAUCACUACAAUAAAAUCAAUGACACUGUUUCAGAACAUGAUGCUCCCACAGAAAGAGCCCAUGUUGCAGCAGGCCAAGCUGUCAGGAACCAAUCUGUUUAUAGACUUUUCUUGUAAAUAUGUUAAACCAUAAUUUUAUACAUUUCAGAACUAUUAUGAUAACGAAGUUAGAACAUCAACAAUAGACAUAGUCAACAGUUUAGAUGUAGGCCCAACAUGUGUUACAACAGGUCAAGCUGCUAGUAUCCAGUU